UGGCUGAGAUGGUAAAGCAUCUGCCUGCAAUGUGGGAGACCAGGGUUCGAUCCCUG
rnacentral:tRNA from 1 species